rnacentral:rRNA from 1 species
UGCCUAACACAUGCAAGUCGAGCGAUCUUCUUCGGAAGAGAGCGGCGGACGGGUGAGUAACGCGUGGGUAACCUGCCCUGUACACACGGAUAACAUACCGAAAGGUAUGCUAAUACGGGAUAACAUAAGAAAGUCGCAUGGCUUUCUUAUCAAAGCUUUUACGGUACAGGAUGGACCCGCGUCUGAUUAGCUAGUUGGUAAGGUAACGGCUUACCAAGGCGACGAUCAGUAGCCGACCUGAGAGGGUGAUCGGCCACAUUGGAACUGAGACACGGUCCAAACUCCUACGGGAGGCAGCAGUGGGGAAUAUUGCACAAUGGGCGAAAGCCUGAUGCAGCAACGCCGCGUGAGCGAUGAAGGCCUUCGGGUCGUAAAGCUCUGUCCUCAAGGAAGAUAAUGACGGUACUUGAGGAGGAAGCCCCGGCUAACUACGUGCCAGCAGCCGCGGUAAUACGUAGGGGGCUAGCGUUAUCCGGAAUUACUGGGCGUAAAGGGUGCGUAGGCGGUCUUUCAAGUCAGAAGUGAAAGGCUACGGCUCAACCGAAGUAAGCUUUUGAAACUGUAAGACUUGAGUGCAGGAGAGGAGAGUGGAAUUCCUAGUGUAGCGGUGAAAUGCGUAGAUAUUAGGAGGAACACCAGUUGCGAAGGCGGCUCUCUGGACUGUAACUGACGCUGAGGCACGAAAGCGUGGGGAG